AAAUUGAAGAGUUUGAUCAUGGCUCAGAUUGAACGCUGGCGGCAGGCCUAACACAUGCAAGUCGAGCGGUAGCACAGAGAGCUUGCUCUCGGGUGACGAGCGGCGGACGGGUGAGUAAUGUCUGGGAAACUGCCUGAUGGAGGGGGAUAACUACUGGAAACGGUAGCUAAUACCGCAUAACGUCGCAAGACCAAAGUGGGGGACCUUCGGGCCUCAUGCCAUCAGAUGUGCCCAGAUGGGAUUAGCUAGUAGGUGGGGUAAUGGCUCACCUAGGCGACGAUCCCUAGCUGGUCUGAGAGGAUGACCAGCCACACUGGAACUGAGACACGGUCCAGACUCCUACGGGAGGCAGCAGUGGGGAAUAUUGCACAAUGGGCGCAAGCCUGAUGCAGCCAUGCCGCGUGUGUGAAGAAGGCCUUCGGGUUGUAAAGCACUUUCAGCGGGGAGGAAGGCGAUAAGGUUAAUAACCUUGUCGAUUGACGUUACCCGCAGAAGAAGCACCGGCUAACUCCGUGCCAGCAGCCGCGGUAAUACGGAGGGUGCAAGCGUUAAUCGGAAUUACUGGGCGUAAAGCGCACGCAGGCGGUCUGUCAAGUCGGAUGUGAAAUCCCCGGGCUCAACCUGGGAACUGCAUUCGAAACUGGCAGGCUAGAGUCUUGUAGAGGGGGGUAGAAUUCCAGGUGUAGCGGUGAAAUGCGUAGAUAUCUGGAGGAAUACCGGUGGCGAAGGCGGCCCCCUGGACAAAGACUGACGCUCAGGUGCGAAAGCGUGGGGAGCAAACAGGAUUAGAUACCCUGGUAGUCCACGCCGUAAACGAUGUCGAUUUGGAGGUUGUGCCCUUGAGGCGUGGCUUCCGGAGCUAACGCGUUAAAUCGACCGCCUGGGGAGUACGGCCGCAAGGUUAAAACUCAAAUGAAUUGACGGGGGCCCGCACAAGCGGUGGAGCAUGUGGUUUAAUUCGAUGCAACGCGAAGAACCUUACCUGGUCUUGACAUCCACAGAACUUAGCAGAGAUGCUUUGGUGCCUUCGGGAACUGUGAGACAGGUGCUGCAUGGCUGUCGUCAGCUCGUGUUGUGAAAUGUUGGGUUAAGUCCCGCAACGAGCGCAACCCUUAUCCUUUGUUGCCAGCGGUUAGGCCGGGAACUCAAAGGAGACUGCCAGUGAUAAACUGGAGGAAGGUGGGGAUGACGUCAAGUCAUCAUGGCCCUUACGACCAGGGCUACACACGUGCUACAAUGGCAUAUACAAAGAGAAGCGACCUCGCGAGAGCAAGCGGACCUCAUAAAGUAUGUCGUAGUCCGGAUUGGAGUCUGCAACUCGACUCCAUGAAGUCGGAAUCGCUAGUAAUCGUAGAUCAGAAUGCUACGGUGAAUACGUUCCCGGGCCUUGUACACACCGCCCGUCACACCAUGGGAGUGGGUUGCAAAAGAAGUAGGUAGCUUAACCUUCGGGAGGGCGCUUACCACUUUGUGAUUCAUGACUGGGGUGAAGUCGUAACAAGGUAACCGUAGGGGAACCUGCGGUUGGAUCACCUCCUUACCUUAAAGAA
rnacentral:rRNA from 1 species